rnacentral:snRNA from 1 species
UCUUCUUAAAAGCCCUGGCUUUGAUCAUGUGUAGUAUCUGUUCUAGAAAGCUUAAUCUCUUUCUGAUAUCCCAAGAGGAUGUCAUUAUUCGAUUAAACUAAUUUAUUUAUAGAGGGUAAGGGAACAUUUAUAAUUAGUGCAAGUCAUUAAUUGGUUUUCUUCAUACAUUUGCUCUGUAUUGCACCAAAUCAGAGAUUUUAAAGUGUACCUCUU